CCUACGGGUGGCAGCAGUGAGGAAUAUUGGUCAAUGGACGAGAGCCUGAACCAGCCAAGUAGCGUGAAGGAUGACUGCCCUAUGGGUUGUAAACUUCUUUUAUAUGGGAAUAAAAUGUUCCACGUGUGGGAUUUUGUAUGUACCAUAUGAAUAAGGAUCGGCUAACUCCGUGCCAGCAGCCGCGGUAAUACGGAGGAUCCGAGCGUUAUCCGGAUUUAUUGGGUUUAAAGGGAGCGUAGGUGGAUUGUUAAGUCAGUUGUGAAAGUUUGCGGCUCAACCGUAGAAUUGCAGUUGAAACUGGCAGUCUUGAGUACAGUAGAGGUGGGCGGAAUUCGUGGUGUAGCGGUGAAAUGCGUAGAUAUCACGAAGAACUCCGAUUGCGAAGGCAGCUCACUGGACUGCAACUGACACUGAGGCGCGAAAGUGUGGGUAUCAAACAGGAUUAGAUACCCUAGUAGUC
rnacentral:rRNA from 1 species